rnacentral:lncRNA from 1 species
GUAGCUUGACCGCCUUACCCGUCAUUGAAACACAAGCUGGAGAUGUAUCGGCUUAUAUUCCUACAAAUGUUAUUUCAAUUACUGACGGACAAAUUUGUUUGGAAACAGAGCUCUUUUAUCGCGGAAUUAGACCCGCUAUUAACGUCGGCUUAUCUGUCAGUCGCGUUGGCUCUGCCGCUCAGUUGAAAGCUAUGAAAAAAGUCUGCGGUAGUUUAAAACUGGAGUUGGCACAAUAUCGCGAAGUGGCCCGCCUUUGCUCAAUUUGGGUCAGACCUUGAUGCUGCGACUCAGGCAUUACUCAAUAGAGGUGCAAGGCUUACAGAAGUACUGAAACAGCCGCAAUAUGCGCCGCUUCCAAUUUCAAAACAAAUUCUAGUACUUAUGCAGCUGUUAAUGGGUUCUGUGAUCGAAUGCCACUAGAAAAAAUUGCACAAUAUGAGAAAGCCAUUCUAAGUAGUAUAACCCCGGAUUUACUACAAGCACUUUUAGGGGGGUUAACUAACGAAAGAAAGAUGGAAUUAGAAGCUUUCUUAAAAGAAAGCGCUUUGCCUUACCUAUGAUGUAAGGCAGGUCGCUCGCGACUGACAAUCAAAUUUCCCUUUCUUCUUUAGUCUUCUAAUUAUGGUAUGGAUCUUGGUUCGUGCUUUUCACAUCCAAAUAGGUCUCGAUCUUUGGUUUGGUACCGGUAGUAGCAUCAAAGAGCUUUCCCUUCCCCAGCGGAUUAAUCACAUCGUGCAAUUGCGCGGCUCGGAGCUUCUAAUCAAAUAUUUCUAUUUUUCCUUUGAAUUACUCAUAAAUCCAUUUCUUUAGAUAUGGCGGAAACAAUCGCACACUGUAUCGAGUUUUUCACAAAAGACGACAGAGUUUUUUAUUUCACAAUGACCUUUCUUUUUCUCCAGGGGCUCUUCCUCAUCUAUCUCUUUCUAGCCCUGUUUGUCCAUCGAAAAGAUAGAAGGGCACUCGAAAGGAUUGCUAUAUCUAAGGGGGUGGGGGUUCUAUUCAAAUAUUCCUGGAGAGGGGUUGAACUCAAGAUCAGCCCCCCUACUGACCGUUCUAAGGAACUCCGACUCCGGGAAACCCGCCACCGUCCCGCCCUUAGGAGAUUGAGCAGGUAAGGUGAGGUAAGCAAAGUGACGAUCAGAAGUCAAUUUAAAGUCCAUGUAGGUGUGGGCCAGACCGGUGUCCAUCCCGACCACGGAUGUUGGGCUUCAACUUCCCUUUGGCCUUUAGUAUAGAAAAAGGUGCUUGAAUUGAAAGCUUCGUACUAUUUUAAAAACGGACUAACUUAGCCAUGAAUUUCUCAUCCAAGGUCAAGCCCUUACAUAAUAGUCAGUGGGGAAUCGGUAGCCUUUUCUGCAACUCUGAAGAAAUGAGUAAUGCUUCCUGGAAUGAAGAGGAGUGGAUCGGGAAUCUAACCCAGCGAAGAAAACGCCUACUUAUAAGUCAGGCACACUAGCGCACCAAACAAGAAAAACGGCUGGAUUGACUGGCUACUUGACCGGGCGAGCCAGCAUAUAGUGCAAAGCACCUUUUGUCCAGUUCAAGCAAAGGAGGACAGAGAGAACUCCAUAGAUCCCUCCUAGGUCAACGGGCAACGGGCUUUGACUUCGUUGAGCUUCAAAAGCAUUCCCGCUCCUUUGCAAUCCAAUCCCGGAACUACGGCUCAAAGGAUCGUGCAGUGGAUGUGUCGGGUUCGAAAGUCUAUCCUCCUCCUCCUGCGUUGGAAUUGUGUGUUCGUCUCUGCCUGUUCAAAAGAGCGACAAUCAAUGGUCUUAAAGUAAAGGAGCACCUAUCUGCCUGACUUGAAAACAAUCCACGCUCCUCCGAUGAAUGAUUGUUUGUUCUUGCUUGUUGCUUGAUUACCGGAGGACCAACGCUGGAAGGCGUUGUCACUGCGACUUGGUGCCUACUAUGCUCUUCACGGAAAGGAGUGAAACGAGCAAGGAGAGAGUCAACCUUAAUGUCAGUGAUAAUAGUAAAGUAAAGGAAGAGACAGAAUCUCAUCUGCUUGGCUGGUCGACACAAGCAAUGCCCAAAGAGCAUUCUUUUCUAUUUUCAUGCUUCAUAAGUACUGUAUCCGCUGGAUUGAAACAGCCUCUUUUUUUUGUGCCUGACCUAAUCCUCUAGCUCUUUACUUGCCAGGGGAAGGAAAGCAAUUCCAACAACUGAAACUAGCUCGUCAAGUAUAGGAUAGGAUGCAGGGGCUGAAAGGGAAAGACCACUUGAUGCAAGUAUCGAAAUCGAACUAGGAAAUCAUUUAUGGAGAAUAAAGCAUCUUAUGGUAAAAAAGCUUUUAUAGGCAUCCUUCUUAUAUAAGGCAAAGCAUGAAUCAAUUAUGUCAGCCCUCCUUGGCCUUCACUUACAGGAUUUCCUCUUCAUUACCAUGCUAAAGUACCGAGAAAGACUUUCCGCUCACUUCCUUUCAUUUGUGAUUUCCUUUACCGACACAUGCUCAAUAUUGGGUAGCGCUUCUUAUCUGGGAAUCCAUUCACACUUCAAGCUUAAACUAAUAAAGAAAUGGCACGGCUGAAUGCUAGAAUCUUAGUCGAUGGAAGUUAGAUUCACUAAUUCACUAAAUUAAUAUUCGUUCAAUUUCAAUCAUAACUGUAAAACUCUUUGUUCUCAUAACAAAGAGCUAGAGCUAGUAUAGGGCUAGUCACUUUCACUAGAUAUGGUCUUGCUCUCAGCCCUUUUCCUAGAGAUCUGGGAUGGAGUGUCGAACUCAGAUACAUAUACAGAGGGGAUUGAUUCAAAGUGUCUAGGUACCAAGAGUCAAUGAAAGAGAGGGGCUGGGGGCCCUGCUGUGGUAGAACCUGGUAUGUCCUGGAUGCCCUACCAGGGAAUCCUGGUGAACCGGGCGUACUACUUUCCAAUCUGCAAGCACCCUUGCUUCUCUUAUGAAAUUGAUAGUUAGAGGCGUGAUCUAUUAUAUAUAUUUAUAUAUACGAUGAUAGCACCAAAAGGGCGGAGACUUUGACAAUGGAUAGUUGACCAUUGCCGGUUAUUCUAGCAAGAGCGUCUGUGGCUAAAAGACUUGCAGCCGAUUCAUCUAUUAGUUAUUCUCUGGCAGAACAUUCUCUUUAAGCCCUAAUACUGAUCCUAUUGCCUUUACUCCUACUGCCCUACCACCAAGACCGGUAAGACCAACAACAGCGGAUUCCAUAGCAUCAGCGAGAGAGAGAAUUCCUAUUGAGUUAGCUUUCCUGGGGAAGAGGAUAUUCUAUAAAGGCUAUACCACGACCACCAAAGCCAGAAGAGAAGACAUCAUUCUCGAAAAGGUCGAAGGACGAAGAAGAGCUCCAAGCAAGAGAUAUUAUUCACUAAAAGCAGCUACCGGGUGAGAAUAAACAACUACCAUUUAAGCUGACAGCUACACGGAUUCACCACUACUUAUGACUUCUUACUCCUGCUCCUAGACAAACUAAGAAGCAAGGAAAGAGGAACUUUAUAUAUAAGAUAUAAGAUCUUUUAUCCGCUACAACUCGAACUCCUAACUCAGGAACUACCCAGCUACCUUAAAGGAAUAAAAACCUGAACCAUUGGCAAGGGGCAAUCACUCAUGACCAACUGCCUUGACGCGGAUACUCCAACAGUUAGUGUUUGGUUUCCGAGACCGAAGUACUGAUACAAAGAAGCUCAUUCAGGAGCGCUGUUCUGUAUUACUUUNGGUAUCUCCGUGAAUAGAGAUAAAGAUAGGGAUCCAUCUAGAUCUUGAUCAUUCACUAUUUCCAUUUUUUUUUUUUAGAUUUUUAUUGUUUUUGAUGACAAGUUUUAAAUCUUAAUGCAGGCAAGGUCGCUUGCGCGCUUGAAACAUCGUUUUUCAAUUAUUACUUGCUGGGUCGGGGGCGUAGACGAGCGAGCAGAGCCCAGGAAAGAGGGAAGGGAAGCCCGUCAUAGAAUAGAGCAGUCGACUAGAAGUAGAAGACUGCUGGCCUGAGAGAAGGCGGCCUCUCUCGGGAAAGAUGGCCCAAUUUUCUUCUUUCUUUUUUUUUUUUUUUUUUUCAGGGCCCAAACGCUAAAAGGUGGGGGAGAAGCAAGCCGAACCUCUGAUCGACCUAGACAUAUAAAAAAUUCUCGGCGUCGAGAGAGAUUUGAGAUUCCGUAAGUAACUCAGUGAGUGCUCUAAGAAGGGCUUGGAAAAAGAAAAUGAAAUACGAACAACCGCGCUGGUCGUAAUAGAUCGACUUUCAUGCUGGAACAAGAACUAGCAUGAAAGUUCCAUUUCAGGGAAGGACGACGUACCAUGAUACUUUCUGUUUUGUCGAGCCUUGCUUUGGUCUCUGGUUUGAUGGUUGUACGUGCUAAAAAUCCGGUACAUUCCGUUUUGUUUUUCAUCCCAGUCUUUUGCGACACUUCAGGUUUACUUCUUUUGUUAGGUCUCGACUUUUUCGCUAUGAUCUUCCCAGUAGUUUAUAUAGGAGCUAUAGCCGUUUUAUUCCUAUUCGUUGUUAUGAUGUUCCAUAUUCAAAUAGCGGAGAUUCACGAAGAAGUAUUGCGCUAUUUACCAGUGAGUGGUAUUAUUGGACUGAUCUUUUGGUGGGAAAUGUUCUUCAUUUUAGAUAAUGAAACCAUUCCAUUACUACCAACCAAAGAAAUACAACCUAUCUGAGAUAUACGGUUUAUGCCGAAAAGGUACGAAGUUGGACUAAUUUGGAAACAUUGGGCAAUUUACUUUAUACCUACUAUUCCGUCUGGUUUUUGGUUUCUAGUCUUAUUUUAUUAGUAGCCAUGAUUGGGGCUAUAGUACUGACUAUGCAUAGGACUACUAAGGUGAAAAGACAGGAUGUAUUCCGACGAAAUGCUAUUGAUUUUAGGAGGACUAUAAUGAGGAGGACGACAGACCCACUCACGAUCUACUAAAAGGGAAGUAGCUUGAUAUUGGUUCAAAUCCAAUUCGUGAGAAGAAGCGUCAAAUGAUUUGGACAGUUGUCGCGCUGGCGGAGCAGGGAGCCUACAGGGAAGAUUGGGGCAAUGAGGAGCUCGACGAGUAUCUGCAGACCCUCUACCCCAUCGACUACAUCUAUCGCUGAACCUUCUUCCGAACUUGCCAACAAGUGCUUAUGAAAGCGGGACUUCAACCUUGCAAUCCGUUGGAGGUGGACUUGAGACCAACGACGGAUUAGAACCUUUCUAGUCCUCUUUAUACUCUUUAACCCAAGCUGUAUACUUUACUGCUGUGCUGUUUAGUGGAAAACCUCUCCUAGUGGAUUUGAAUUUUAAUUCGAUUAAUCGAUUGAUGAGACGAAAUUGACUGCUCUUGAACGAAGGACGAAGGACUCCCCCCGUACCCGUUUCAACUUCACUAGGGACCUCAGCCUCAACUUCCUCCCUCACUUCAGUGGCUUCGAGUUUCUCUCCCUCUCGGUCAAGCUACUUUGUUCCUCAAAUCUGUCUAGGGGAAAGCGUGAGUUAAGCGCCUUUCAUGGGUCCGUCAUGAGGGAUGUUGACCUAGCGUUAAGCGUACCUAGAACGGCCUUCCAGAAGAAAGGAAGAGGAGAGGAAUCCCUAAGCUUCUGCUUUUGAAAUGGAGUCCGCAACUCCUGAACCCGUGGAAGCACCACCAGAGGAACCAAAACCCUCAGCUAAGGAAUGGGGUUUUUCGGCAAGCUGACAAAUAGAUUUAUGUACCUCAGAUUCAGUGGGAUCAGGCGCUUCUGCUUCGAUGAAUGGUCUUUCUCGAGUGGAGAUUCCUACGAAUGGGAUCUCCUCCUAAAGGUUGGCGAGAUGGGGCCGCAUCGAAAUGGCUCGUUCAGACAGAGAUGUAUGUGUCAAAGUAUACCAGCAAGGGUAGGGAACCAGAGUUCCAUUACUAGUAUGAAUAACCGGCUGGAGUAACUCGUACUGGACAUCUGGGAAAGGAUUGAUCUUACUGCUCAUGGAUAGGGAAAGAAUACUAAAAAAAUGACUCUACAAGAACGACCUAUCCCAGGGCUUUGGCCCAUCCCAGCUCCGCCCAGAAUGGCAAUUCCGGGCGUUUUAUGACCAGUCUCCAACUGUUUUUGAACCGGGCCCCGAUGAAACACUUCGUUUUUAAGCUUCAAAAGAAUGCCCGUAGCGGCGAUGCGUUUGCUUCUGAUUGCUCGAGUUGGAAGACCUACAAGGAGCUCGGUUGUACUAAAAAUAAAGAAGAAUCGACCUGUGUCAAUGGAUUCCAAAUCUUUCGUCUCCCGCGGGCCUGCAGCUGCCCUUAAUGCCUCAAUCCUCGUUCUCAACUUCGUCGAGCCUUGUUAGGGAUAUGGCUUUCUAGCCUCUCUAGUGGUCAAAUAGUGACUCGCACUCUUUCCUAUUUCCGGAUUCAAAGCAGCGAGCACCGAAGGAAAGUAGAACUGAACACCAACUGAAAAAAGAAAAUAAGCAAAAAAGAGGAUGCAAACCGCUUUUUUGCAUUUUGCAAUAAGUAAGUUGCUCACCAUCUUCAGUAAGUCAGUUAACAGACUUGAGCAAGUCUUCCUUGGACGAGUUCCUUCAGUUAGAUAGGUGAAGUUAUAUAGGCUAGCGAGCCACAUGAGCCUAGAAGUUGAGUUAGUCUCGUCAACAAUUCCUUGAGUCUCGAACCCAGCUAAUAGCUUGAGCCUAGAAACUCGAGAAAGGCUAACCAAUAGAUAGAUAGAGGGAUAGCGGGCUGGAGUCUAACUCCAACCUAAGUAAAGAUCUGCUCUGAGCUCAGAAGUGGAGGGAGUAGUCUUUUUUUCCGAAUAGCUGUCUUUGUCUUUAUUCCUUGAGCCUAGAAAUAGAAAGCAGCCACUAGAUAGGAUAGUGAGCCUCAUACUGGUCCUAAGGAGUGCCCUUAUUUUAUUCCUUCUCCUCUGCUCUUCGAGCUUCAAUAGAAGACCAGGAGACCAACCUUUAUCUUCGUCCUCGAUUCCUUGUUGGUGCUUGAUUCUCGAGGCUGGGAAGACAGAAGAAGAGGUAAUAUGUAAUAUUCUCUACAGAGUGGGGUGGGAAAUGUUCUCGCCACAGAAGCCAAGUGGUUCACGGCUAAACAGGUACGGAAGGAGUUCUUUCAGUAAGUAAAAGUCGUGUCGUGUUGGGCUGCGAGAAAGGGGAGGUUCGGAGCGGAGGAUCUACCGCGUCCAGUCUAUUCCGAAGGUGCAAGGCAGGUUCCCGAUCAACAAGAGGUGGCAGUCCCCUCGCCCGAUAGAGAUUUCAACUACAUUGAGCCCCGGAUUGGGGGAGAGUUUCUAGUUUCCCGACAGGUCGAUGUACAACCGACAGGUGAAUGCUUUACCAAACUCGUGUACAACUCCUUUCAUGUGUAUUGAUUUCCGCUUAUUACAUGCUUGGUUUCCUAAACGAUUUCUCCACAGCACCCCCUGACCAAACAAAAAACCAGAAAGCCAAGAUCUAUAUAAAUAUAAAGCGAGGGAAAGAGUACAGAUGUGCAGCAGAGAAGGAAGAAAGACGAAUGCUAUGAGAGCUUGGACAGAAUAAGGUCUAGGGGAGACCGCCCAUUUAUCACAUGUGAGGGGAAGACUAGUAAAAGAUUCGAGCUGUAAACUCGCAAUAUAGACAGAAAAAAAAUAUUGAUACCAACCCAACAAACAAGGUACUAUGCCUUUCUCUUACAGCUAAGGCAUGGUACCUAAAAUCGGUAGUUUCACUCAAACUAGUACUUUUACUCGGCUUUGUCUGUAGAAACUUGGCUUACGUGAUAGGGGCCCAGAAAGGGCAUUUUAUAAUACAAAAAGAGCAGGUUACACCAACGUACAGUGCUCGAUCAACUAGAUUUACUGCUCGAACUGAGCAGAAAGCGCUCUUAACUACAUGACUCUGCAAUAAGAUUUCAACCUCACGGACAAGGGGCCUUCACCCGAAAGUCCCUGCGCUGUUAACCCACGAAUAAAUGAAAUGCCGAUAUCGCUCCCUUCAUGAAAAGCACUUUAGAGCCCCGGUGCUAAAAAAGGUGCUAAUUCAGUCUGAUCAGUGAUAGAGCGCAAAUGACCCUCUUUGGGGUGGGGUAUAAGCAUGCAGGCGACUCACGUGUAAAUAUAGGUCCUGUCUUUAUUUCCAUUAUUUCAUUUCUACGAUUUAAGCUGGCUGAACAGAAGAUAGAAGAUUACGAUUUAGAGUCUAAGGGAGUUUCGCCAUUUGAGUGAGUUCGGUUCCUCUAGGUAGGGCCGAAGCAAGGAUGAUCCUAUCGACCCAUUCCAACUUGAAGCUCUCUCCUGUCAUGCCGGAGUAUGGGGCUUAAACAGUAACUAUCAUUUUAAGAUAGAAACAAGGGAUUUUCAUUGAGAAUAUCGAGACUAGAGGACUUCGCGAAGUGAAGAACUACUGAACCUGAACCAGAACCAGAAUGGCGUAGUGUAAGUUAGUAAUGUAAUUGAGUGCCGAUCGCUUUCAAGCAAAAUCGUAAACAAAGGGAGAAAGUGAUCCUAGUUUCAAAAGGAAAUAGCAGCGUACAUUACCCUAGAGAGAUUGAAACCUGGCGAACCCGAAGAUGACGAAUCCGAAGAGCCGGAGAGGAGGUCUGUUUCAAAUAGCAACAGAAAGACGUAAAAUGCCUGCUAAUGGGAGCGACCCGGUCCAGAUUAUGAAGCUGAUCCAGCCAGGCUUGGAAGAAAUGCAAUAUAGAAAGACUCACACGAAUGGGGCUUCGGUCGAUAGUCUUUCUCUUCUGUUUCGCCUUGGAAUGCCUAUUUACAAGAGGUUGAGUCCUGGGUACCACUUUGAGGAAGGUUAUUUAUGUUUACAACAUUCUUUUCUUCUCUGCUCUAACCUUGAGCCGGAGGCGAGGACCAUUGAGUGGAUAUUCCAUAUCUGCCUGAACGACUGACCCUAGCACCACAGCUGACCUAGAGGAGAGAAGCAGAUAUCAGCCUACCCACAAUCUUCAUCUGGACUGGAUGGGCUUGCCAUCCUGAAAGAAAAGAGCUCAUUCCCUAAUUCACUGAACGAGACUAUUGAAAGGAAAGGAAUUGUUUCUCCGUGGGGCGGAUACAUCUUGUGUUUGAGACAUGAAGACAGAGAGUUGGAAAGAUCUAUUUCAGUAGUCAACCCCUCUUCGAGACUACUAGCAAGGUGCGAAGCACCGGUGCUCAUUCUCGAUUAGCCGAAUGAGGAUGUCGUACAUGCUUUCUUAAGAAAAGGAAAAUAAUCGGUUGUUGUGUCGAAUCAAUGGCAUCGAAUGCAAGCUGUGACUGAACUGCCUUACUGUCCGAGGAGGGUAAAUCAAUAGGAAUAGGCAGAGAAUGCCCAAUAGGUCUUUGGCUGUUUUCUCAUCUAUAGAAUCUGCUGUGGUUGAGGAUGAAAAUAUGAAUUAGAAUCUUCCUCAAUUCCUUUUGAAUAAGGAGGGCAUGGUUGACGAGACUUUCUUCUGACUCUCACGUAGAAGAGAAGGGGUGCCUUACUGGAUGAAAGACGUAGAAGGAAUGCCUUACUGGAUUCAAUUCAAUAUACACCUUCUGUUCCCAGGUCUAGCCUUUUCGCGGUAUCGUAUCCCGCUGAUGAGUAAAUGUACAAAAAGGCUUCCGAACCUGGUUGCGUAGCUUGGUCGCCUUCGCCAACAUGUAGUAAUAGGUCUUUCUCUUUCCGGUUUUUUUCAUGUAUCAAUCAAAAAGGGUGCUUUCUAUGAAAAAAUUCAAAAUAUGAAAUUGAACUAGCACUAACAACGGGAAGAGCAAACUGCUUUGAGCUCAUAUUCAAGCGGCUACAAAACAACUGAUUUGGUAAUUGAAUCGGGUGUGGACAUAGCAAACCUCUUCAUUAGAGAGAAGCCCUUUUACCUGUUUGUAUGGAGAAAAGAAAGUUGGAAGAACUAAAUAAAGGAACGAACUCACUAGAAAGCCGAGAAACUAAACUACCAGGCAAGGAAGCUCAUGCUUAGUCCUAUUUGGAAAUCCAUUUUGUCUAAAUCUAUAGAGAAGACGAGCAGACGAUAAGAAAAAGGAUGUUGCGUCUUCUAGAUAUAUAUGAAUGACCACUUUGGUCUAAAUUCUAGAGGUUGCUCCUCCGUCGUCUACCAUACAUAAUUACUGAGCAACCUGCCUUAAUGAAAGGAGAUCCCUUCUGACUUACCUGUCCUUGCCGCUAUCUGACUGACAAAGAGAGCAAGAGCAGACGAGAAGCUACAACCAACCGAUAGAUCUUCCGUCUUGUCUUAGAGUAGGAACUCAAUUAGCCUAGCUACAUUACAGGCUUGAUCGAUAUAAUGAAUUCUAUCUUCUUUGUUCGAACCGCAAGCAGGAGCGGAGCCACAUCUAGCUCUAUGAAUCAAACUCUUCCUUAGACCAAAGAAACUUCCCUUUCGACUAGUUACCUGUAUGGAGCAAGGCCCAUCCAAGCGUGGUUUUCUAUUAGUAUUAGAAAGAAAUAGCUGGCUCCUUCUCAUGCACAAAUCUACCCGUAGCAUAGACUGGAUCGAUCACCACAUCUGCAUCUCUCUCCAGGGAAAGCUGAAACUAACUAGUAACUUAAAGUUAAAGUAAAGAAUGGAGUAGCCCAUAGUUCUCCUCGAGUAGUGAAAAACUAUAGUGAUAGUACGCCCGUAUAGCUCACUGAAGAAGAAGACCUUAUAUAAGAAGCAGUUGAAUCCGAACCAGCCCACCCACCAGCACUAGUAGCGGAUUACCCACCAGGCGCUUCAUAUCCAUAUGAAGUUUAUGCCGCAGCAGAUCGAAAUCAAGGCCUAUCUGCAUAAGGUCAAAUCAAAAAAAAGCAUCGGUUGAAAGAGGGUCAGAUCUGACCCCGGUUAGACUUAAAUAGUAAGAAAGAUGUUCAUUAUAGAAACCUCCUCUACUCAAAGCGAGCGCUAAACUAGAUUCUUAUCAAAGCAAUGGGCGGCACAGGAGGCAGAAGAAAAAGUAGAAGCAGAAGCUAUUCCUGUUCCUGACUCCUUUCCUUAAUUGAGUAUAGGUAUAGGUGGUAACUGGCCUUCACUCAAGAUGCAAUGUCUGACAUUCCCUGGUAUAGUCUAGUAUACCAGUUUAGUAUACCCUAAACUCAUUAUAGUCAUAUACUUUGAGAGCUAUACAUUCCCUUCUUGCUAGAUAUUUUAUUUUGACUGAGAGUAGUCGCGUAGACUGGACUACGGGAAAUUAUAUAGCACUUAGAUCUACCUACCUGACCAACCAAAUUCAUUCAUUUCCCUCGUGAAAAGGAGUAAAUCAAGAUUAAGACUGCCAAUCGAGGUACUGACUAAAUGCGUGCCAGUGGAAAGAUUGACUGUGACAGAAAUGCUCCUUCCUUUACGACAGCAGAGAGUGAGCCGCAAGAAGUCCUGCAUACUGCCAAAGAGCUGCAUGCCGCAAAAGAAAGACAAAUAGAAAGCUUCGAACUUUCUUGGAGACCAAGAAAUCCCUUCCCGCAGGUGCAAGUGAGGGAGGGUAAACUCUGACUGUGACAGAAAUGCCGCUACCUCUGCUACUUGACGCUCCCAGGGCGAAUGAAUCGUUUUGCCAUAUAGACUAUCAGCUUAUUCCUUGAAUUGGGACGGGGCCCNAAGGGUCGCUCCUUCCAUUUUUAUCUAUCAUAUCCUAGAUAACUUACUGCACUUCCCCGUGAUGGCUAACCUCCUUCUUUAUUUCGGGGCUUGGCGUAGGGGCAAUGGCUUUACAGGCGUAGAAACUUUUCUCCGGGUAUUGUUUCUGUUGCAAGCAAGGGGUUAGGCUCGAAGCAACUAGGCUAUCAGGGAUCCACGGCCUUUCUUCCGUUUCUCAAUAUCAACUCCCGAUUCUCGCUCCAUUUAUAUCUAUAUUGAUAUAAACAAGUAUUUCGUUUCGCGCUCGUACGUUCAAUUUAAUCACUUCGUAACCUUUACUUGAUCACUGGACGGCUUUACCUUUGCUUUCAAUCUGUCUUGUGUCACGUAAGCAAAACUCACUUGUUGGCUUACACAACUAGGCGUUAGGAGCGUAGAAGCGAGAGUGGGGUAAAACGAGUUUAAUAUACUUUACACGAGAGGUCAAGAGGCGGUGCCCGUAUGGUUACCACCUAAAGCGGCUCUAGACUUUCCACCCAGGCGUAAAAACGGUUAUUGACAAAACUUAACGAUUAAGCUUUGCAUGGGAAGCUGCCACCUGUCUGUAAUAGGAACCGAGUCGCUAAAAGCAGGAGUUUCAUCAGCAUCGAGUUCUUGAGCCCACGGAACGGGGAGUGUUAACGAGUCACUAACCCGUAGUGCGUAAGAGUCACGUACCCCUUAGUCUGGGUAAAGCUUCCUAAACCUCGCGAUUCGACCGUUGGAGCUGAGUCAAUCUUGCCAAAUUGGCAACUUGAAUGUCUGGGUCUGUCCUAUAGAAUUGCUCAUGGAACUUGCUUUCCAGAUCGUACCAACUGUUAAUAGAGUUUGGAGGGAUGUUCAUAUACCAGGGGAAGGCCGAUUUAGUAAGAGAGUUGGCAAAGAGCCUCAACUUGAGGUAGUCCUUGGACCUAGCUUCCCCGCACUGGACCGAGAACCGAGCUAUAUGCUCAAUAGUCGACUUCUUCUCCUCACCGGAAAAGAGAACAAACUCAGGCACCUUAUACCCCUUUGGAAACUGAUGAACUCGGUCGAUCCAAUCAGGGUAUGCUUUCCUAGCCGUCGGCCUCAGAUGGACGAGACAAAGAACGCAACUCAGGGGGCGAGAACUCAGAGAGGUGGAGGUCCGGACAAGGCUAGAGCCAAGCAGAGGGAUGGAGUAGGGGACGGUUGGUGAAAGUAGGCACGAGUGGAGAGGCAGGUGAGGAAGCGCAGGUGUAAAAGUCGAGUCUAGUAUUUUUGCUUUCUUUCGUAGGCGAGUGAGAAGCGAGAGUGCAGGCUCGCCCCGAAAGCGAGCCGGGAGCGAUCAAAGGCGAUAAACGCUUGAUUGUAUUCUUGACUGAUUCAAUUGAUAACGAGAGAUAAAGGUACCCCGACCAUGCCCAAAGGGGUUUAAUAACUAGUAGUGGCGUGCUGAACUGAAAAGUACGGUGAAGCUUUCGGAGCGUAGUGAGGUGAGCCAGUGCCUGUUGGUGGUCAAGUCCCAGUGGAAGUGGAAGUUGUUGGGCGUUCAGGUUGCAAAGGAAGUUGGUGGGCUAACGGUGGUCCAGGUAAGGUAGGUGGGGAAGGCUCGCCACGAGAUCGACCGAUAGCUUUGACCCAACCCCGGAAGCGGAAGUGCCAGAGAGACGAUCUUUGUGAGGCAGAGUGACAUUCCAAGGUCAGGUAUAAGGUGCUACGGGAACGAUGUCUCAAAGGUCAGUGCCAAGGGCUCAACGCGGAAGCAAUCCGCUGCUCACAGGGACCGUGCGGGCUGACGCUCUUCUCUCUCAGGCAAAGAAAUGUGAUUUUCACUUUCGCUGGUUCAAGGUAGGCUGCUUAAGCAGAGGUUGUUGUUGUUGUUGGCGUGAGUGAAGGCGUUCCUUCCGGUGGGCAUGACGAAGCUAAGCUGGAACUAAUUACGAAAGCAUAAUCGUUUUCAAGGCUAGGGAGUGAAUUCAACUUUAGACAAGUCUAGCAAAGCAGCUCAUCUGGUAACACGGUUAUCCGUCCAACCUCUAUCAAUCGGUCUUUCCUCUUUCAAUCGCUUGAAUCGGUCCAACCGGUAAUCUCGAAUCUCUAACAAUCGCAUCUGUCUGACUGAUGGGAGAGAUCGGCUCUAUGGCCGCUUUUCCUUAAACUUCAGCCCUCUUUAAGCUCUCUUCUAGGGAAUUUGCUUGGUCUAGUAACAAGUCUCGAUAAGCUGUCGCAAUCAGGCAAUUCGUUAAAAAAGAUAUCUUAUCGAUCUGUCUUUCAAUACUUCCUAUCUUCCUGCUGGGGAAUCAGUAUCUGUUGCAAUCGCUCAUUUGUUCUGUUCUGUCGCAACUCUCGCAUCUGGAAUACGGGAAAAUCUUCCCAUAUUAACCUUUUUUGUAAAUAUCUCUUCUAUUGCUUGUUAGCAUUGGCUAUCGGUCAAUUUCGAUUCCUUUCUUUAUAAAUAUUUUGUCUCCUUCAUUGAUGACUAUUCUAGAGUGACUUUCAUCUAUCUUAUGAAAUCUAAGAAUGAAGUUCCUUAGCACAAGCGCUAAGCAAUAAUAAUUCCUUUUAUUUUCCGGUUAUUUCAUAAUAUGAUAAAAAACUCAGUGUGGUAUAAAUGUUAAGAUUUUGAGAUCUGACUGAAUUUGAAAGAAAAAAAGAAAGGGGAGAAUAGUUCUCCAAGAACUUUCAAGCUUAUCUGCAGAAACAAGGGAUUGACUCUCAAACUACCUGCCCAUAUACCCCCAAGAAUGGAGUAGCUGAGCGAAAAAAUCGGCAUCUUUGGAGGUUACCCGUGCUCUUCUCACCGAGAUGAAGGUAGCUAAUACUGGUAAGAAGCUGUCUUAACUGCAUGUUAUUUGAUUAAUCGUAUGUCCGUUCUAAGUGGUAAAUCUCCUAUUCAAGUGUUGAAACCUGACUCACCCCUGUCUUUCCUAUUUCUCUUCGUGUUUUUGGUUGUGUUUGCUUUGUUCAUGACUUGAGUCCUCUCAGAAACAAACUUGAUUAUAAGUCUUUCAAAUGUGUCUUUGUUUGGUAUUCUAGCUCUCAGAAGGGCUAGAAGUGUUAUCACCCCAAAACAAAUAAAAGAUUUGUGUCCAUGGAUGUCAUCACUUUCUUUGAAAAUCUUUCUUAUUUCUUUUCUCUGAAAAUUGUAGUACUCUUUCGGAUCCCUACUCUCCUCAGGGGGAGUAUGGAGGUCUGGAGGAGAGUAGUGUUCUUCCUGUCGUCAGUUAAAAUAUUCCCAUGUCUAAAGUGGAAAAUUAUAUGGAUUCGAAAGAGGGGGAGUCUCAAAGUAGUGAGCAGCUUGGUCAGCAAACCACGGAAUUAAAGACGUAUGUGAAGAAGAGGAAGAAAAUUUGUCAAAUCAACAAUCCAUCCCAAGACUCCUCCUUGGAUCCAGGUAUUCCUCUCUUCCUCCUUCUGUUGUUUCUGAUCUGUAUUUACCUAUUGCCUUGAGGAAAGAAAAGAGAUAUUGUACUUCUCGCCUAUUAAUAACUUUGUGUCCUAUCAAGGCUUCCUUAGCACAAGGCUAAGCGAUAAUAAUUCCUUCUCUUAUAAGCUUUCGUUUCAGCGAUUUUAUUCCAACCAAGAUACCCUCCCAAUUUAAAAUAAGCCCUCAAUCAUCCUCAGUGGAAGAAAGCUAUGAUAGAAGAAAUGGAGGCUCUAAAGAAGAACGACACUUGGGAACUGAUCACGUUACCAAGAGGCAAACGUACGGUUGGCUGCAGCAAUCAAACUAAAAGCGCUAACGAACAAGCAAGGGAUUCGGGAUUCACUCCAACAGAAGAAAGCCCAGAUAUCGAAUCAGAAUUGAGCACUCGUACUUCGCUACCUUUCUCCGAGUCGACUAAUCAGAUUAACUGAUUGCGUCUGCUAGAGAUGCUUUACCUAAAAAUGACUUUCAAGUGGGGAGUGAAUGAAAGUCGAUAUCGAAAUCCUAGGCUCAAAAAAGCCACAAAUUUUUCGAUCCUUCAGGCCGUAAUCACCCGAUUGAAGAGGGCCAAGGGAGGAGACAAGAUCUGAUGAGUGCGAACGGGAGCACCAAUAUGCUAGAGACCCAUACAGAUGGAUGCACGACGGAAAAGCCAGCUGUUGACCAGCUGGAUUAAAAGAGCUCUUCUUCGUCUUUCCGGCCCCCACUCGUACUGAUACUGAUUGUGCUUUCCAUGUUUGCUUUGCAAUAUUUUGUAUUCUUUUGAGAUAGCAUUUGGUCUUACAAAAAAAAGUAAGUUUUUUCAUUGAUUGCGGAUUGCGUUUCUACGCUUUCAAAAAAGUAAGUUUUUUGGGAUGUUAAUGUCCUAAACAAUGAACUCUUUGACAUUACAGUUUUCGAAUUAAAGGCCAAUCUCUUAGAGGGACUAGUGAAUUGUUAAUGAGUGAGCCAACUGAUCGGCUCACUCAAAUAUUAUCGAUUCCCCCUUUGCUGAACCUGACCGUGUCAUAAGGUCCGAGGCUCUUGAAUUCAUCAACUACUUUAUGAGUCGUUUCCAGAUUCAAGAAGACGCGGCGCGAUCCCCUUUUGAAAGAAGGUUGGUGGUAUCCAUGUUAAACUUAUGGAUCCAAGAUGCCCAGCAAAACGGGCAUCUCUCCGCCGUGUAUACUGCCUUCGUGGCGUUAUUUCCUUGGUUAAAUCUUUUCAUUAUUCAUUAAUAGUAAUAGUAGCGGCAUUCUCCCUUAACUCUGUUAAUGUUAAUUUGAAUGAAAUCAUGGAAUUUUCUCCAGAGCUGCGGAAACUAACCACUCUAUUAGAAAGUCGAAUUAGCCACUUUUACACGAAUUUUCAAGUGGAUGAGAUCGGUCGAGUGGUCUCAGUUGGAGAUGGGAUUGCACGUGGUUUAUGGAUUGAACGAAAUUCAAGCUGGGGAAAAUGGUUGAAUUUGCCAGCGGUGUGAAAGGGAUAGCCUUAAUCUUGAAAAUGAGAAUGUAGGGAUUGUUGUCUUUGGUAGUGAUACCGCUAUUAAAGAAGGAGAUCUUGUCAAGCGCACUGGCUCUAUUGUGGAUGUUCCCCGGGAAAGGCUAUGCUAGGGCGUGUGGUCGACGCGUUGGGAGUCCCUAUUGAUGGAAGAGGGGCUCUAAGCGAUCACGAGCGAAGACGUGUCGAAGUGAAAGCCCCAGGGAUUAUUGAACGUAAAUCUGUGCACGAGCCCAUGCAAACGGGCUUAAAAGCGGUAGAUAGUUCUCGUUCCUAUAGGCCGUGGUCAACGAGAACUUAUAAUCGGGGACCGACAACUGGAAAAAACUGCUAUUGCUAUCGAUACCAUAUUAAACCAAAAGGAAAUGAACUCAAGGGCCACCUCUGAGAGUGAGACAUUGUAUUGUGUCUAUGUAGCGGUUGGACAAAAACGCUCAACUGUAGCACAAUUAGUUCAAAAUUCUUUCAGAAGGAAUGCUUUGGAAUAUUCCAUUUCUUGUAGCAGCCACCGCCUCGGAUCCAGCUCCUCUGCAAUUUCUGGCCCAUAUUCUGGGUGUGCCAUGGGGGAAUAUUUCCGCGAUAAUGGAAUGCACGCAUUAAUAAUCUAUGAUGAUCUUUAGUAAACAGGCCGUGGCAUAUCGACAAAUGUCAUUAUGUUACGCCGACCCCAGGCCGUGAGGCUUUCCCAGGCGAUGUUUUCUAUUUACAUUCCCGUCUAUUAGAAAGAGCCGCGAAAACGAUCGGACCAGACAGGUGCAGGUAGCUUUGACCGCCUUACCGUCAUUGAAAACACAAGCUGGAGAUGUAUCGGCUUAUAUUCCUACAAAUGUUAUUUCAAUUACUGACGGACAAAUUUGUUUGGAAACAGAGCUCUUUUAUCGCGGAAUUAGACCCGCUAUUAACGUCGGCUUAUCUGUCAGUCGCGUUGGCUCUGCCGCUCAGUUGAAAGCUAUGAAAAAAGUCUGCGGUAGUUUAAAACUGGAGUUGGCACAAUAUCGCGAAGUGGCCGCCUUUGCUCAAUUUGGGUCAGACCUUGAUGCUGCGACUCAGGCAUUACUCAAUAGAGGUGCAAGGCUUACAGAAGUACUGAAACAGCCGCAAUAUGCGCCGCUUCCAAUUUCAAAACAAAUUCUAGUACUUUAUGCAGCUGUUAAUGGGUUCUGUGAUCGAAUGCCACUAGAAAAAAUUGCACAAUAUGAGAAAGCCAUUCUAAGUAGUAUAACCCCGGAUUUACUACAAGCACUUUUAGGGGGGUUAACUAACGAAAGAAAGAUGGAAUUAGAAGCUUUCUUAAAAGAAAGCGCUUUGCCUUACCUAUGAUGUAAGGCAAGGUCGCUCGCGACUGACAAUCAAAUUUCCCUUUUCUUCUUUA